ACAAGUGGAACAGGAGGUUAAGCCUGGCUUAACACACAAGAGCAAGGCGAUCCCGACGUUCCUUCCCAAGCAAAGCCUCCCUGGGAAGCUCCUGGCACCAAAAAGGAGCCGGAGAAGCCCCAGGUGAGGAGGAAUGGAGAAUCCAACCCAAAAUGGCUCCUGGCUCCUCCCGCCGCCGCCGGGAGCCGGAAUUUUCCUCGGCGCCCGCUCGGAUCCAAACAGAAUUCCCAAAUUUCCGCCUUCCGCUUGGGAAAAUCCCAACCCCAUCCCCUCGCUGCUCUGGCCCGAGGAAUUGGGGCCGGGGAGGAGGGAAAAUGAACAUUUUUGGGAUGGGGAGCUGUGGAGGGUGAGGAGGCCUCGUUAAAACGCUGGGUAAUUAAAGAAGUCAUUAAAACGUG